GGGGGGGGGGGGGGGGGGGGGGAGGGGGGGGGGGGCGGACGGGGGGGGCCUGCUGGGGUGGGGGGCGCGAGUGGCGAAGGGGUGAGUAACACGUGAGGAACCGGCCGUUGACUGUGGGAUAACUUCAGGAAACUGGGGGUAAUACCGGAUAGGAGCUCCUGCUGCAUGGUGGGGGUUGGGUAGUUUCGGCGGUUGGGGAGGGGCUCGCGGCUGAUCAGCUUGUUGGUGGGGUCGUGGCUUACCAAGGCUUUGACGGGUAGCCGGCCUGAGAGGGUGACCGGCCACAUUGGGACUGAGAUACGGCCCAGACUCCUACGGGAGGCAGCAGUGGGGAAUAUUGCACAAUGGGCGGAAGCCUGAUGCAGCAACGCCGCGUGCGGGAUGACGGCCUUCGGGUUGUAAACCGCUUUCGCCUGUGACGAAGCGUGAGUGACGGUAAUGGGUAAAGAAGCACCGGCUAACUACGUG
rnacentral:rRNA from 1 species